rnacentral:rRNA from 1 species
UACAGAGGGUGCGAGCGUUAAUCGGAAUUACUGGGCGUAAAGCGUGCGUAGACGGUUACGUAAGUCGGAUGUGAAAUCCCCGGGCUCAACCUGGGAAUUGCAUUCGAGACUGUGUAGCUGGGGUGCGGAAGAGGGAAGCGGAAUUUCCGGUGUAGCGGUGAAAUGCGUAGAUAUCGGAAGGAACAUCAGUGGCGAAAGCGGCUUCCUGGUCCAGCACCGACGUUCAGGCACGAAAGCGUGGGGAGCAACAGG